rnacentral:rRNA from 1 species
AACGUAGGAGACAAACGUUAUCCGGAGUUACUGGGCGUAAAGGGCGUGUAGGUGGUUUCGUAAGUCUGGCGUGAAAUUUCUCGGCUUAACCGAGGCAGGUCGUCGGAUACUGCGGAACUUGAGGACGGUAGGGGCGUGUGGAAUUCCGGGUGUAGUGGUGAAGUGCGUAGAGAUCCGGAGGAACACCAGUGGCGAAGGCGACACGCUGGGCCGUACCUGACACUGAUGCGCGACAGCAUGGGGAGCAAACAGG